ensembl:lncRNA
GGGGGUGGGGUGGGGCGGAGCACACAAUUCAGAAUCGAAGGUUCGAGCUAGCACAGGAAACUUGAAAACAAAACUAAAGUUAUAUAUAUGAUCUGGGUAUAUUUCUUCGCCUCCACUUCCACUUCAGACAGGGUGGUGUGGAGAAGACCUGGAAGGGUGCUACGAAAGUUGACCUAGAGGACAGGAACAGAGUCUCUGCACUGCCACAGGUUCCAAUCCAGUCUCGGAAGGAAGGAGGGCGCUGCUACAUUGCAUCCAUUCAAAGACUGGCGGGUGGUGGGGGGAGCAGGACCUGGAGCCGCGCAGCACUGACGCACGCGAGGCGCGUGAUUGACGCAGGCGAUGUUACUAAAUUCGGCGGUUGGCCCGGCCCCGCCGCCGGCGCGCGCCGCAGAUAGCGGAAGAGCACUAGAUUGCUUCUCAGAGGCCUUGGACUGGUUUUGCUGCUGUGAAACUGCUGAGCCUUGGAGGGUUUCACUCGGGUUCAGCCUGUGAGCAGCAGAGAAGGCCCGCUGUUCAUCACUGUGCUGCUGCGUCUGCACUGCCCUUCCCUCCAUUGCAGCUGCCCACCUGAGGGCAGCACCCCUGAGUCACAGCAUUCUGUGACAUCUGUGUUUGAACUAACAGAUUCAAGUACCCUAUGGAAUUAUAUCACCUUUGAUCCUGAACCGUCUCAAGAGUUAACCUCUGGUUUAUCUCUUUAUCUUGAUGUGACACUUUUGCUCCGAUCUUUCACACGAUAGUAUCCUUCCCUCUUUUCUUUAGUGUCUCUGCCUUGGUUUAUAUAACCUGUUCGUUGGUAAGUUCUUCCCUUCUCCAUAUCAUAUUUCCUUCUGUAACAUUCAUUGUGCUUUGAAUUUGAAGUUCAAGGCCUCAGUCACUUGUCUACCAUCUAUAACCUAUAAAUGGAGGGGUGCAAAAUGGAGGGGUAUAGAAUAUUAUCGAGGAACUCAAGCUAUAUUUUUUAAACAUUUACUAUAUUAAACUGUAAGA